rnacentral:rRNA from 1 species
AACGAACGCUGGCGGCAGGCUUAACACAUGCAAGUCGAACGCGUGCAGCAAUGCACGAGUGGCGCACGGGUGAGUAACGAGUGGAUAUCUGCCUUUUGGUUCGGAAUAACCCCGGGAAACUGGGGCUAAUACCGGAUGGUUCCUACGGGAUAAAGAUUUAUCGCCAAAAGAUGAGUCCGCGUCCGAUUAGCUAGUUGGUGAGGUAAUGGCCCACCAAGGCGACGAUCGGUAGCUGGUCUGAGAGGACGAUCAGCCACACUGGGACUGAGACACGGCCCAGACUCCUACGGGAGGCAGCAGUGGGGAAUAUUGGACAAUGGGGGCAACCCUGAUCCAGCCAUGCCGCGUGAGUGAUGAAGGCCUUCGGGUUGUAAAGCUCUUUUGGCGGGGACGAUGAUGACGGUACCCGCAGAAUAAGCCCCGGCUAACUUCGUG